rnacentral:piRNA from 1 species
UACUAACGGAAGAGCUACUGUUU